rnacentral:lncRNA from 1 species
GCUCUCUUGCAUAUGCUUGCUCUCCCUUCUGCUCUUUUGCCACGGGAUAUUGCAGCAUGAAAGCUCUCACCAGAUAUAAGCACCGUGCUUUUGGAAUUCUCAGCCCCCAAAAUGACUUCAUCUUCAUUGGUGACACAUCACAGAAGCUGAGGUCCAUCAUGGAUUUCUAAAGAUAAUUCAUCCAGAUGCCUCUUUGGUCAGCUCCACUAACCAGCUGGAACACAUCAUUUCUUCCUCUCCAAUCCCAGCACCAAUUAUUCACCCAAAUAAUGACCAGACGUUAGCAGCUUACUUGGAAAUAGUGUCCUGUGGUUCCAGCUGAUUCUCUGUCUCUGACCACUGCUGGGAAGGCUCCAUAGGCCUCUUCCUUCCCACGCUGCGUCAUUCCAAUCUAGCUACCAGGAAACUCUGUCAUGCAGAUGAUAGAUCUCAUGUGUCUCUAAAUCUGCACACCAUCACCUAUCUGCCCCUUGUUGCCUAUUAUGUUCCUUCUAUUAAUGAAUUCAUACAAAUACAUACAUUUUAUUUAUAA